rnacentral:SRP_RNA from 1 species
GGAGCGGAAGGAAGCAGCCGUCCAGGAGCGGCUGGCGGGCCUCGA